ensembl:lncRNA
UCAGUUUCGGUUCUUGUGAUUGGUCUGUUCAUCUUUUCUAUUUCGUCUUGGUUUUUAGUCUUGGAAGAUUGUGCCUUUCAAAGAAUUUGUCCAUUUCUUGUAGGUUUUCUGUUUGAUUGGCGUAUAGUUGCAUAUAUAGUAGUCUCUUAGGCUCCUUUGUGUUUCUGUGAUGUCUGCUGUUACUGCUCCUUUUUCAUUUCUACUUUUCUUGAUUUGAGUGCUCUCUCUCUCUUUUUCUGGAUAAGUCUGGCUAAGGGUUUAUCGAUUUUGUUGAUCUUUUCAAAGAACCAGCUUUUCGUUUCAUUGAUCUUUUCGAUGGUUUUCUUUGUUUCUAGUUCAUUGAUAUCUGCUCUGAGCUUGAUGAUCUCUUUCCUUCUGCUGACUUUAGGUCUUGUCUGUUCCUCUCUCUCUAGGUGCUUUAGAUGUAAAGUUAGCUUGUUUAUUUGAGCUUUUUCUUGUUUCCUGAGGUGGGCUCGUAUUGCUGCGAACUUUCCUCUUAGAAUGGCUUUUGCCGUAUGUAUCCCAUAGGUUUUGGAGUGUCGUAGCUUUGUUGUCAUUUGCUUGUAGGUAUUUUUUAAUUUCCACUUUGAUUUCUUCAGUGAUCCAUUGGUUGUUUCGUAACAUGUUGUUGAGUCUCCCUGUGUUUGUGUUUUUUGCAGUUUUUUUCUUGUUGUUGAUUUCCAGCCAUAUAGCGUUGAGGUCGGAAAAGAUGCUUGACAUGAUUUCAGUUUUCUUAAAGUUCCCGAGAUUUGAUUUGUAGCCCAGGAUGUGAUCCAUGUUAGAGAGUGCUCCGGGUGCACUUGAGAAGCAUGUGCAUUCUGUUGCUUUUGGAUGGAAUGUCCUAUAAAUAUCUAUUUAGUCCAUCUGGUGUAAUGCAGCAUUCGGGGCCUGUGUUUCCGUAUUGAUUUUCUGUCUGGAUGAUCUGUCCAUAGCUGAAAGUGGGUGUUAACGUCCCCCACUAUUAUUGUGUUAUUGUUGAUCUGUGCUUUUAAGGUUGUUUGUUAGCAGUUGCCUGAUGUAUUGUGGUGAACCUGUGUUGGGUGUGUAGAUGUUUAAAAUGGUUAUAUCUUCUUCUUGGAUUGAUCCUUUGAUCAUUAUGUAGUGACCUUCCUUGUCCCUUAAAAUAGUCUUCAUUUUAAAGUCUAUUUUGUGUGUUAUGAGUAUUGGUACUCCAGCUUUCUUUUGAUUCCCAUUUGCAUGGAACAUUUUCCUCCAUCCUCUCAUUUUCAAUUUGUGUGUGUUCCUAGAAGUGAAGUGGGUCUCUGGAAGACAGCAUAUGUAUGGAUCUUGCUUUUGUAUGCAUUCAGCCGGUCUGUGUCUUUUGGUUGGGGCGUUCAGUCCGUUAACAUUUCGGGUAAUUAUUGAUAUGUAUGUUCUUAUUGCCAUUUUAUUAAUUGCUUUGGAUUUGUUUGUGUUGCUCUUUUUUCUUCCCUUCUUGUUCUCUCCUCUUGUGGUUUGAUGACUGUCUUUAGUGUUGCAUUUGAGUUGAUGUUUCUUAUUUUUUUGUGUAUCAGUUGUAGAUGUUUGGUUUGCACUUAUUCUGAAGUUUUGAUAUAAGAGUCUCUCUCUAUAUGAGAUAGUUUUAAGUUGUGGGUCUCUUAAUUGCAAGUGCAUCUCCAGUGUCCUGCAUUUGUACGCUGCUCUUCUCAGGAUGUCUGAUUUUGGUGGCCUAAUUGUGCGUGGGUGAUUUUGUAUCUUUACUGUAUGUAUACCUUGACUGGUGAGCCUUGUCAUCUGUGGAAUUUUUGUUUCCUGUUGUGGCCUUUUCUCUUCUGCCUGGAGAAGUUCCUUUAGUAUUUGUUGUAAAGCUGGUUUAGUGUUGCUGAAUUCUCUCAGCCUUUGCUUAUCUGUGAAGCUUUUGAUUUCUCCUUGAAAUCUGCAUGAGAGCCUUGCUGGGGAAAGUAAUCUUGGUUGGCGGUUUUUCCCUUUCAUCACGUUGAGUGUAUCAUGCCACUCCCUUCUGGGCUGCAGAGUUUCAGCUGAAAAAUCUGCCGAUAACCUUAUCGGGGUUCCCUUGUCUGUUAUUUGUUUCUUUUCCCUAGCUGCUUUCAGUAUUUUCUCUCUGUCUUUAAUUUUGGUCCGUUGGGUUAGUAUGUGUCUCCUUGGGUUUCCUCCUCGGGUUUAUUUUAUAUGGUAGCCGUUGCGCUUCCUGGAUUUGAGUGAGGGGUUCCUUUCCCAUGUUGGGGAAGUUUUUGGCUAUUGUCUCUUUGAGUAUUUUUUCUGUCCCCUUCUCUCUCUCUUCUCCUUCUGGCACCCCUAUGAUACGGAUGUUGGUGCGUUUCACGUGGUCCCAGAGUUCUCUGAGACUCUCUUCAUUUGUUUUCAAUCUUUUUUCUCUUUUCUGUUCCCGAUCCGUAAUUUCCACUCGUCUGUCCUCCACCUUGCUUAUUUCUUCUUCUGCCUCCCGUAUUCUGCUGUUAGCUGCGUCUAGUGAAUUUUUUAUUUCAGGUAUUGUAUUUUGCAUCUCUUCUUGUUCACGUUUUCUAUCUUGUAUCUCUUUGGUCAGCGUUCCCUGUAAGUUAUCCGUCUUUGCCUCCAGUUUAUGUCCAACGUCUUGCAUCAUCUUCAGCAUCAACAGGCUCAAGUCUUUUCCCUGGAGGCUGAGAAUCUCCUGAUCACUUAGCUGAUUUUCGGUGGUUUCUUCUUUCGCCCUCAUCUGAGUUAUAGUUUUGUGUCUUUUCAUUUUGAUAGUUUUUUGGUGUGGUGAUCUUUUUACAGAUAAUAGAGUUGUAGCCUCUCUUGCUUCUGUUGUCUGCCUCCCUUGUGGCUGAAGUUGGUAUGGGGGCUUGCUGUAGGCUUCUUGAUGGGGGUGGGUGCUGAUGCCUGCCCAUGGAUAGGUGAAGCUGAUUCCUAUCC